rnacentral:rRNA from 1 species
UAAGGAAUAUUGGACAAUGGUCGCAAGACUGAUCCAGCCAUGCCGCGUGCAGGAAGACGGCCCUAUGGGUUGUAAACUGCUUUUGUACCAGAGAAAACCUAUCUACGUGUAGAUAGCUGAUAGUAUGGUAAGAAUAAGCAUCGGCUAACUUCGUGCCAGCAGCCGCGGUAAUACGUAGGCAGCAAGCGUUGUUCGGAGUUACUGGGCGUAAAGAGUGCGUAGGCGGUUUUCUAAGUUCGGUGUGAAAUCUCCCGGCUUAACUGGGAGGGUGCGCCGAAGACUGGGAUGCUGGAGUGUGGGAAAGGCAGGCGGAAUUCCUGGUGUAGCGGUGAAAUGCGUAGAUAUCAGGAGGAACACCGGCGGUGUAGACGGCUUGCUAGACCAUAACUGACGCUGAGGCACGAAAGCGUGGGUAGCAAACA